rnacentral:rRNA from 1 species
AUUGAACGCUGGCGGCAUGCUUUACACAUGCAAGUCGAACGGUAACAGGCCGCAAGGUGCUGACGAGUGGCGAACGGGUGAGUAAUGCAUCGGAACGUGCCCAGUCGUGGGGGAUAACUACUCGAAAGAGUAGCUAAUACCGCAUACGAUCUAUGGAUGAAAGCGGGGGACCGUAAGGCAUCGCGCGAUUGGAGCGGCCGAUGUCAGAUUAGGUAGUUGGUGGGGUAAAGGCUCACCAAGCCAACGAUCUGUAGCUGUUCUGAGAGGACGACCAGCCACACUGGGACUGAGACACGGCCCAGACUCCUACGGGAGGCAGCAGUGGGGAAUGUUGGACAAUGGGCGCAAGCCUGAUCCAGCAAUGCCGCGUGCAGGAAGAAGGCCUUCGGGUUGUAAACUGCUUUUGUACGGAACGAAACGGCUCUGGUUAAUACCCGGGGCUAAUGACGGUACCGUAAGAAUAAGCACCGGCUAACUACGUG